rnacentral:sRNA from 1 species
UUUUUCUUGCAAAUCAGACAUGAAAAUUUUGUAGUGUCCUGAUCAUUCCGUUUGUGCUCCAUUUGAAAUUCAGCUCUUGAUUUGCUUAUCAUCUGAAUACAGGUGGAGGAUUGGGUUUGUUUAAACUUUGAUUAAGUGACAGUGACUUGAUUGUAUUGAGAUUGCAGCUCAGGGAUUGUGGGUUUGUUUAUCUUCUGAAUUCAAUUCUGGAGAUAGCUGCAUGAAACGUGAUCCACCCGUUUUCCAGCU